GAUGAAGAACGUAGCGAAAUGCGAUAAGUAGUGUGAAUUGCAGAAUUCCGUGAAUCAUCGAAUCUUUGAACGCACAUUGCGCCCCCUGGUAUUCCGGGGGGCAUGCCUGUCCGAGCGUCAUUACAACCCUCAAGCUCAGCUUGGUAUUGGGCCCCGCCGCUCCGGCGGGCCCUAAAGUCAGUGGCGGUGCCGUCCGGCUCCGAGCGUAGUAAUUCUUCUCGCUCUGGAGGUCCGGUCGUGUGCUCGCCAGCAACCCCCAAUUUUUUUCAGGUUGACCUCGGAUCAGGUAGGGAUACCCGCUGAACUUAAGCAUAUCAAUAAGCGGAGGA
rnacentral:misc_RNA from 1 species